rnacentral:rRNA from 1 species
ACGGACGAGAAGCUUGCUUCUCUGAUGUUAGCGGCGGACGGGUGAGUAACACGUGGAUAACCUACCUAUAAGACUGGGAUAACUUCGGGAAACCGUAGCUAAUACCGGAUAAUAUUUUGAACCGCAUGGUUCAAAAGUGAAAGACGGUCUUGCUGUCACUUAUAGAUGGAUCCGCGCUGCAUUAGCUAGUUGGUAAGGUAACGGCUUACCAAGGCAACGAUGCAUAGCCGACCUGAGAGGGUGAUCGGCCACACUGGAACUGAGACACGGUCCAGACCCCUACGGGAGGCAGCAGUAGGGAAUCUUCCGCAAUGGGCGAAAGCCUGACGGAGCAACGCCGCGUGAGUGAUGAAGGUCUUCGGAUCGUAAAACUCUGUUAUUAGGGAAGAACAUAUGUGUAAGUAACUGUGCACAUCUUGACGGUACCUAAUCGGAAAGCCACGGCUAACUACGUGCCAGCAGCCGCGGUAAUACGUAGGUGGCAAGCGUUAUCCGGAAUUAUUGGGCGUAAAGCGCGCGUAGGCGGUUUUUUAAGUCUGAUGUGAAAGCCCACGGCUCAACCGUGGAGGGUCAUUGGAAACUGGAAAACUUGAGUGCAGAAGAGGAAAUGUGGAAUUCCAUGUGUAGCGGUGAAAUGCGCAGAGAUAUGGAGGAACACCAGUGGCGUAAGGCGACUUUCUGGUCUGUAACUGACGCUGAUGUGCGAAAGCGUGGGGAUCAAACAGGAUUAGAUACCCUGGUAGUCCACGCCGUAAACGAUGAGUGCUAAGUGUUAGGGGUUUCCGCCCCUUAGUGCUGCAGCUAACGCAUUAAGCACUCCGCC